rnacentral:rRNA from 1 species
AGCGAACGCUGGCGGCAGGCCUAACACAUGCAAGUCGAACGAAGCCUUCGGGCUUAGUGGCGGACGGGUGAGUAACACGUGGGAACGUACCUUUUGGUUCGGAACAACUCAGGGAAACUUGAGCUAAUACCGGAUGAGCCCUUAGGGGGAAAGAUUUAUCGCCGAAAGAGCGGCCCGCGUUAGAUUAGCUAGUUGGUGAGGUAAAGGCUCACCAAGGCAACGAUCCAUAGCUGGUCUGAGAGGAUGAUCAGCCACACUGGGACGGAGACACGGCACAGACUCCUACGGGAGGGAGCAGUGGGGAAUCUUGCGCAACGGGCGAAAGCCUGACGCAGCCAUGCCGCGUGAAUGAUGAAGGUCUUAGGAUUGUAAAAUUCUUUUACCAGGGACGAUAAUGACGGUACCUGGAGAAAAAGCCCCGGCUAACUUCGUGCCAGCCGCCGCAGUAA